rnacentral:rRNA from 1 species
UACGUAGGGUGCGAGCGUUGUCCGGAAUUACUGGGCGUAAAGAGCUCGUAGGUGGUUUGUCGCGUUGUUCGUGAAAACUCACAGCUUAACUGUGGGCGUGCGGGCGAUACGGGCAGACUGGAGUACUGCAGGGGAGACUGGAAUUCCUGGUGUAGCGGUGGAAUGCGCAGAUAUCUGGAGGAACACCGGUGGCGAAGGCGACAUCCUGGACCGGCAUUGACGCUGAGGCGCGAAAGCGUGGGGAGCAAACAGG